rnacentral:rRNA from 1 species
UACAGAGGUCUCAAGCGUUGUUCGGAUUCAUUGGGCGUAAAGGGCGCGUAGGCGGCGGGGUCAGUCGGGUGUGAAAUCUUGGGGCUUAACCCCGAAACGGCACUCGAAACUGCCCGGCUGGAGGGCCGGAGAGGAGAUCGGAAUUCACGGUGUAGCAGUGAAAUGCGUAGAGAUCGGGAGGAACACCAGAGGCGAAGGCGGCGACCUGGACAGAUACUGACACUCAACUGCGAAAGCGUGGGGAGCAAACAGG